CUGAGGGGUGGGCUGAGGUGGGGAGGGGUUUUGACCAAGAAAAGAAGUGAGGAAACUUUUUGAAAGCAAGGUAGUGUUUGAUUUUUUUAUUACAGUUUCAGACACAAGGUUUGUCUAUUCGUCAAAACCUAUUAAUGGCAUACCUAAGUCUUGUGCAUUUCACUGAACAUAGAUUUUACCAUAAAGAAGAACCAAAAACAUAUUGCACUCCAGUUAAUAAUAGCCAGGCAGAAACAUUUAAGGUGAAACAUAAGCUACAUAUCUGCAACUUAACUUGAAAUAUAUAAAAAAUUAGAUGAAUUGAUGGAUUCAUGGAAGAAUGGAUAGAUGGAUAGGUACAUAUAUGUGAUAAAGAAAGUAGGGUAAAAUGUUAAUUGUAGAAUCUAGGUGGUGGGUACAUGGUGUUCACUGAGCAAUUCUUUCAUCUUUUGCAUGUUUGAAAAAUUUAAUAGUAUACUAGUGGGGAAAAUAUUUGAGAGUGGUGAGUUCUGUGUGUGCGUGGAACUAUCUGUAACUUGGAGGAGCUAGAAAAAUCCAUUUGGACAAUGUGUUCAUGGACUCAGAAAAUCAGAAUAUAAUUUUUUUGAGGCAGGGUCUCACUGUGUUGUCCAGGCUGGAUUGCAGUGGUGCAAUCAUAGCUCACUGCAGCCUUGACCUCCUGGGUUCAAAUGAUUCUCCUGCAUCAGCCUCCUCAGUAGCCAGGACUACAGGUGUGAGCCACCAUACGUGGUUAAUUUUUGCAUUUUUAGUAAAGACAGGGUCGUACUAUAUUGCCCAGGCUAGGCUCCAACUCCUCGCCUCAAGUGAUUCUCCUGCCUUGGCCUCCCAAAGUGCUGGAAUUACAGGCGUGAUCCACUGCACCUGGCUUGUAUUUGUUUUAAACCAAUUUUGAUCUCUAUCUUGGAGGCAGAUCCAGUUCAUUAGAGAUCAUUCCUGUGGAUGCCUCUUCAACUUCUACACUACAUAUUCAUUUCUCACCUUAGACCCUUCAGAUGAUCCACUGCAGUGAAUUCUUACAAUGUUAUGCUUUCUUGGUACCUAUUUUGAAUAUAUGUUGGACUUUCUCAUACCAGAAGCAGGGCUUAGUCAUCCUUGAAAGUUUCCACGUCUCCACCUCUUCCCAGGCCCUCAAAAUGGUCGAUCCAGAGAUGUGCCUUAUAUAGCUGCCUCCUGGUGACCAAGUCCCUAAGGGACAGCUAGAUGCAACCUACUUGACCCACCCUGCAGACCCUCACACCCGGCAUGGACUGCCCAGAUAUGCUGCCAUGACCACCUCUCCCUCACAACAUGGCCUCCCGUAACUUGUGCCUACCUGAUCUAAGCCAACGAAUUACAACUUCUUGGGAACCUGCUGGGGUGAUGGCCUGGACCCCAUAAAGGCUUCAGCUCUCAGGGCCCACACUCCAUCUCUCUUGCUCCCCACCUGCUGGCGAGCACAAGGGUCCUGACGGCUCCCCCAGUCCAGCGUGCUGCCCUCUUCUCUCUGGACCUGCGAGGAACUCACUGCUUCUGGUAUUUCAUGGGUUUUGUUGAGUGGCCUCCUCUGUGUCUCACUUGACCAACACACCUGAUCCUAACUUCUUUCCAAAUUCAGAACUCUCCUGAAGAGUGGCUAUCUUGGUAGGCUAAAUAAAUAAAUACACCAGACACAGACAAGAGACUCAAGGGUAUCUAAGAGGGUAAACAAGUUUCUCAUGAGAGACCUGGGCACAGGUCAGACACAGGGAUUCUGCCAUCCACCAGGAUAAAGAAGUACCCCGUGAAGAUCUGAAAACUGUCUUGUUAAUUCACUUCAGGCUGCACAGUUUUUGCAGGGACAGCUGUGGCUACAAACGUGGGCCAUGUGGGAAGGGCACUCUCCCUGCACUGUCACCUGCAUGCCCAGGAUUGACAAGGAGAGCCACUGCCCCCCACCUGCCGGCUGGUCUCCAGCAGCAUGAAAACAGGGGGCGUGGCAGUUCCUGCCAUAAAGAGGAAAAUGAUACACUUUAUCCCAGAUGCCAGGUGCUGUCUGCAUCAGUCCUUUUAAAAAUUUAAUCGCUUUAUACAAUUGACACCAAAUAAAAUGCACAUAUUUAAAGUUUACAAUUUGAGAAGCUGACACGUGUCCAUACAGACACACCUCAUUUUACUGUGCUUUACUGUAUUGCCCUUUGAAGAUACUGCAUUUUCUUUUUACAAAUUAAAGGUUUGUGGCAACCCUGUGCUGAGCAAGUUUAUUGGCAUCAUUUUUCAAACAGCAUGCACUCACUGUGCAUCUCUGUGUCACAUUUUGGGAAUUCUCACAGUAUUUCAAACUUUUCCAUUAGGAUUAUAUUUGUUAUAGUGACCUGUGCUCAGUGAUCUUUGAUGUUACUGUUGUAAUUACAACAGUUCUGGUUCUGGGGCACCACGAACCACACCCACACAUACCGAUGAACUUAAUAAACGUUGUGUGUGUUCUGACUGCUCCACUGACCAGUGAUUCUCCGGUCUCCCUCUCCUCAGGCCUCCGUAUUCCUUGAGACACAACAUAUUAAAGUUAGGCUAUUAACAACCCUAAAAUGUCAAGUUGUUCAAAUGGAAAAAAAAAAAAAGAAUAGAAAAGUUAGAAGCUAGCAGAGGUUGGUUCAUGAGGUUUAAGGAAAAAAGCCAUCUUCAAUAACAUAAAAGUUUUAUGUUAUAGCACUGGGGAAGUGGCAAGUGCUGAUGGAGAAGCUGCAGCAAGAUCUCUAGAUCUUAGAAGAUCUAGUUAACAUCGCUGAUUAAGGUGGCUACACUAUACAACAGAUGUUCAAUGUAGACAACACAGCCGUCUAUUGGAAGAAGAUGUUAUCUAGGCUAGAUGAGAAUAAGUCUCUGCCUGGCUUCAAAGCUUCUACAGACAGGGACAAUUGUAGCUGGUGACUUUAAGUUGAAACAAAUGCUCAUUUAUCAUUCUGAAAGUUCUAGUGCCCUUAAGAAUGACACUAAAUCUACUCUUCCUGUGCUCUAUAGGAACAAAGAAGCCUGGGCACAGCACAUCUGUUGAUACCUUGGUUUACUGAAUAUUUUAAGCUCAUUGCUGAGACAUGCUGCUCAGAAAGAAAGAUUUCUUUCAAAAUAUUACUGCUCAUUUGACAAUGCACCUAGUUACCCAAGAGCUCUGAUGAAGAUGUUCAAGAUCAAUGUUUUCAUGUCUGCUAAUACAACAUCCAUUCUGUACUCCACGGAUCAAGGAGUAAUUUUGACUUGCAACUCUUAUUACUUAAGAAAUACAUUUUAUAAGGCUAUAACUGCCAUAGACAGUGAUUCCUCUGAUAGAUCUGGGCAAAGUACAUUGAAAACCUUCUGGAAAGGAUUCACAACUCUAGAAGUCAAUAAGAACAUCUAUGAUUCAUGGGAGGAGGUCAAAUUAUCGACAUUAACAGGAGGUUGUAAGAAGUGGAUUCCAACUCUCAUGGA
rnacentral:lncRNA from 1 species